GCAUACGAAGCGAGACGCGGUCAGCAAAGGGAUGUAGGUUUGAGUACCAGGCCUCUGUCGUGAAACUGUAUUGUUAUUUUUUUCCCCCCACGGUGGGCGGGGGGGGGCGAGUGCUGCGCGAGACCCGGGGAAAUUCCAUGCUGUUCUUUGGAGGGGUGCUGGCGGCUACAGCCUGGAGGCUGGAAAUUUCCAGACAGUGAUACACUUUCUUCAUCUAUCCCGACCUCUCAUCAUGGACUAAUCAGCCAUCAUCUGAAGUUUCCUUCCUUUUUGGGUGCCCUUUUCACCGGCUGCCAGUAUGCCUACCCUGGAACCUGAGCAACUGGCUAUCAGAGAAAUGAGAGAGGAUGAAGCACCAAUAGUCUUGGAACUUCUGAAGGAUGGAUUCAAGGAUACAGAGAACCGCUUAAUAUUGUAUGUCCUGACAAGGCCGCUGGCGUUGCUGCUAAUGGCGGUGGUGAGCAGCGGCCUGCGUUUCUUCCUGAACUCUUUUGUGGUGGCACUUGUGCUGCCAGUGGUGCUCACCGUAGUGGCUCUCAAACUUUUGCUGUGGCGCUCACCGGAUCUGAGGCAUCUGUAUGCGUAUUAUAAUGUAGGCCAGCGUGGGAUCUGGGUGGCUGUGUAUGAUGAGGAUGAUGUGUGUGGCUGUGUAGCUUUGGAGCCCUGGAGUGGGGAACCCGGCGCAGCUGAGCUGAAGCGCCUGGCUGUCAACAGAUGGUACCGUCGCUCGGGUGUAGGCCGUCGCCUCCUCAGUUUCCUGGAGAAUCAGGCUCGUGCCCAGGGCUUCAAAUUCUUGGUGGCCCAGGUCUCAGUGGUCACCAAAGCAGCAAUUGGGCUCUUUGAGAACACUGGCUACAAAGUGAGUGGUGGACGUCAGUGGCUGGGUUACACCAUUCAACAAGAGUUCAUCAAGGAGCUUUUGUAGCUAUGUUUGUCAGUUAGCUACCCACCAAGUUACCUAGGGAAACAGGGAGAGGACAGCACGUGGCUUAUGGAGAAUUUUGCCCCCAAAGAACAAAGUACAGAGCUCCAGAAACAGUCACUGCCAGCCCACGUACAGGGCAGUUCUUUGCCAAAACGAGGUGGCUUUCUUUCCCUGGAAAAUGAAGACUCUGCAGCCAUGAAUGUGAAGCUAAUCAGAGGAACGAUUGUCUGUCACAAUCUACUGAUCCUAGUAUGUCAUUCACACUCAGUGUGACAUAGGGAUUUCAAUCCUAGGUUAUGAGCCUGGAGUUUGGGAAAUGAGAACGACCAAAAUCCAUUCCCUGUGUUCUUCCUGAGGUCAGGCUGUGUAUCAUCAAUGCAAAACACAUCCAAAUUUUAAACCAAGGUCUAGCCGGAUUUGUUGUAUUGGUCCCCCACCAGGAGUACACAGCAGCCUGAAGUGCUAAAUGAGCAGCAAAGACAGUAAACGUUGUGCUCUGUGUACACGAAAACACUUCAUGAAGUGCUUCAGCUUAUCAGCAGGAAGGUGUACCUCUACAGAAGGAGGACCCAAGGGGGAGGCCAUAGUAUAUCCAUGCACAUUGCUUUACAAUGCCUGUUAGUAGGGGGUGCCAUGUGUAGCAAAGAAAUUUUAUCUGUACUAUUCUCAGCUAUAUUCUCUGUACUUGCAGAUGACGAGUGAAUGGUAGGUAUUUGCUUGUAUGAAAGAACAGAAACAGUUGUAUCUGAGGACACCAAUGGGAGAGGGCGUAUCCUCUCCUCAGGCAUCAAGUAGUUAGGUCUGACAUACUAUAACUAGACAACAAACUCUUAUUCCCCACCAAAUUCAUCAGCACUUCUGGAUGCAUGGGACAGCAACAAACAGCUGCAGCAUUGAACAUUUGCUUAUUUGCUUGUCUUGCAUUCUCACUACAGGCACUCAGCAUUUCUGCAACCACUAAGCAUGUUUAAUUCUUACUCUGUUUUGGGGAGGCUCAUUAUAUACAUAUAUGCCUGAACCUGCAAACAAUUCCAUCUUGCUUUCCAGUAGACAUUUUUUGGCUGCAUAGUAAUAUUAAUUCAGUAUCUGAGUUGCUAUCAGUAUUUCUUCUGUAGAA